CCUACGGGAGGCAGCAGUGGGGAAUAUUGCACAAUGGGCGCAAGCCUGAUGCAGCCAUGCCGCGUGUGUGAAGAAGGCCUUCGGGUUGUAAAGCACUUUCAGUCGUGAGGAAGGUAGUGUAGUUAAUAGCUGCAUUAUUUGACGUUAGCGACAGAAGAAGCACCGGCCAACUCCGUGCCAGCAGCCGCGGUAAU
rnacentral:rRNA from 1 species